rnacentral:lncRNA from 1 species
AGAAAAAUAAUUAAAAUGGCCUUAUUACAACCCAAAACCAGAUAAUAAUAAGAUAAAACUUAUAAAGAAAUAAAUCGGCUACUUAUUACAAUUUAAAGAACCAGAAACAGAAGUGUGGCCAUCUCCGAGUCCCUCGCAGCUCCAAACCAUCUACGCUUAGGGAUUACCUGCACAGUUAGAAACGGGGUGAGUUUAUGAAAACUCAGUGUGUAAUCCCAAUAGCAAACAAACAGUGAAAACGUAGUGUUAGUACAAUCUGGGCCAAAGCCCUAUUUAGUCUUGGCAUAUACUGGGCCGAAGCCUUUCGUUUAACGGUUACUGGGCCGAAGCCUUUUUAUAAAUCAUAUCACUGGGCCGAAGCCUUAUCAUAAAUCAUAUCACUAGGCCGAAGCCUUACCAUAAAUCAUAUCUCUGGGUCGAAGCCUUUACUGUAAACUGUAUGGCCCUUAGGCCCAUUUCAAUAUCACAUGUAAUGUCAAUGGAUGUAUGCAAGCCCAUUUGGGGAGACUACUCGACCCAUCAUCCGCUACUCUCCACCUAUACCAACCAACACACCAUGUGGGGAAUAACUCAACCCACCCAACCAACACACCACUGCCAGCAUAGCUGCUUUAUCAUAUAUCUGGAGGCCUAGCCUCUUUAAUAACUGGGGCAAAGUCCUUUUCGGUAAACUGGGGCAAAGCCCUUUUCAAUAAACUGGGGCAUAAGCCCUUUUCGGUAGACUAGGGCAUAAGCCCUUUUCAAUAAACUGGGGCAUAAGCCCUUUUGCACUUCCUCCAUCCAUAUAAAAACCCAACCCAAUGCAACAUGUCAUGUGUGCAGAAUUUCAUGCCCAUAUUUGAAUAAACAAUCACAGUCAAGUCAUUCAUAUCACCAACAUAUAUUCACAAUCAAUCUGUCAACCACACAGUCUAAGUCAGUCACUUGCCCACAAGGGCAAAACAGUCAUUUUUCACAUUAUAAGGGUAUUUUCGUAAUUUUACCAAAUAUCAGGGUUUUCCAUGUUCAUUACAAUUAUCAAUAUUUCCAAGUGUUUAAACAAUGCUCUUUAACCCACUUUAUCAAAUUUGGGCUUUUGGGCCCAAAACCCCUAAUGGGCCCUACGAAUGCUGAUUUAGCCUACUUAACCCAAAUUUUAUAACAAUACUAACCGUGUUAACGUGCAACUUUUCCAAAUUCCAUUUUCUAUCAAUUCUACCCAAAUGGAUCCGAAAGCCCAUUGGGCCUAAUUUUAGCCCAUUGAGGCCCAACUUACCAUCGUGCACAAAAUUGAGUUCUUACCUGUUCCAUCGAUCCAAACACCAAUCUUAUCGUAUUUAUCGCAUCUAUACCCAAACGCAACAUUACAAGUUCUCGAAAUACCGGUAUUUUAGCAUUUCGGCUUCUCAGCAAAUAUUAAUCUAAGCUAUUACGAGGGUUAGUACACACAUGUUGCGGGUUGAAGUUGAAACGUUUCUAAAAUCAAUCGCCUACGAUAACCACCACCUAUCACUCAAACUUAACUAAUCCAAUAUCAAUAUAUGUAAAUUCUAAGCACAUCAAUCAUACGGAACAUAAGGGCAUAUUCGUCAUUUUACCAUACAGUGGUAUUACGGUCACUUUACCCUACAGGGGCUUUACGGUCACUUUACCCUACAGGGGCUUUACGGUCUUUUUACCUAAUAGGGGUAUUUUAGUCAUUUCACCCUGCAAGGGUGUUUUGGUAAAUCUACAAACCAAGGGUAUUUCAGAAAUUUUGUAAACUAAUGGUAUUUCUAUAAUUUUUAGAAAGUCAAGGGUAUUUUUGUAAUUUUGUAAAUCAGGGGUAUUUUGGUAAUUUUAGAAAUUGAGGGUAUUUCGGUAAUUUUACAAACCAGUGGUAUUUUGGUAACUUUACAAACUAGGGGUAUUUUGGUAAUUUUACAAACUAGGGGUAUUUUAGCAAUUUUACAGACCAGGGUAUUUUGGUAAUUUUACUGAUCGAGGGUAUUUUGGUAAUUUUGUAAACCAAUGGUAUUUUAGUAAUUUUAUAAAUCGAGGGUAAAAUAGUAAUUCUGUAAAUCAAGGGUAAAAUAGUAAUUCUAUAAAUCGAUGGUAAAAUGGUAAUUCUGUAAAUCAAGGGUAAAAUAGUAAUUCCAUAAAUCGAGGGUAAAACAGUAAUUCUAUAAAUCGGGGGUACUUUAGUAAUUUUACAAGUCGAGGGUAUUUCAAUAAUUGGUAAACUAAAGUAUUCUAAACAUGGAUAAUAAUACUAAUGGCCCUAAAGCCCAUUCUCGGCCUAAAUGGGCCCAUACGCUCGUGUGGCCCUUUUAGCCCAAAUCUAGCCACAAAUAUUAGAUUCACCUAGCCUAGCCCAAUAUUUACUACACAAUCAAACAACUUAUCCAAUUGGGCCCAUAGGCCCAUUAGGCCCACAUGACCCCUUUCGGCCCAUCGCGGCCCGAAGUAGCCAUCCUACAGCUAGAGUAGUAAGAAAUACACACCUGAUAGGAGACUGGAGUUAAUCCACGCUCCGAGCACUCUUAGCCGACGCCCAACCCAAACGAGCACGUCAUACAGCGAAAGGGAUCAGCCAAGAAAGGUACCUCUACUCUCCUCAUGGUUCUCUCUAUUUAAAGCCAGCUUCGCAUCCACUCUUAUGUUAGCUUCCCGAUGUGGGAUCCCUCCAAUAUUAGAGUUUAAAUUCAACACCAAC